rnacentral:lncRNA from 1 species
GGGGAGGGGGGCAGACUAGCAGAGAAGAAGCAAAGUUUUUGAUUUGGGCUCGUUGGACGGUUGAGAAUGAGGAGAUAGACAAAUGUGGAUCCCACUGAGAACUUUAUCAACUACCACUAUCACCAUUCAUCAUCAAGAGGUGGUUGUUACUCCAGACUCCAGAGUUUCACAAUCUGAGGGGAGGGGAGGGGAGGUAAGAGUCCAAAAUUGCUUAAACCAACAAAAAAAAAAUCAGUUAUAAUCAGGUUGGUUAUUCCCUUGGUAAAUCUUAAUUACUGGUGUAUUGGCCUCAAGUUUGAAGGGGCUGAGGAGCCUACCCCAGGUUGCAGAGUUUGCAAGAAGUGGACACCCCUCCCCCGUCUCUGCUUCAGUUACAGUGAUUGUCCUCUCCUGUCCUGUUCUGUUAUUUGGAGUCCAGUAGUAUCCUAUGUUGGGUUAAGCUUAUUCCUCCCAGUCCCUGCCUCGUAUGGUUAAGAUAUGUAAUCAGUUAUUACAUCAUUCAUCAUCUUAUCAGUACGUAUUAUCUAUUGAGCUCGACUCAAUACUGGUUCAUUUAGCUUUGCUUUCAUGUUCAGUGUCUUUUUGGCUGAUAUAUAUUUCUCUAUUAUGCUUGCUCCAUCAACAUAAAUAAUUGAAUGAAUAUGAACAAGGGAACCCUCCCUCCCUCCCUCCCUUCUGAUUUUGUAUAUUUUUGGUAGAGACAAACUUGUUUGUUACAUCAUAUACCUUUUUUUUUAAAACAAAUCCAC